AAAGCUUUUUGAAUUGCUAUCUGCAGGGUUCUUUCUCCUUAAAUUCACUCGUUCGUCAAUAUUUGUCCGACAAAAAUCCAGAAGAAAUUCUCACUGCAGUGGAAUCCUUGCUUAGCAAAGUCAUGGAGGAAUGUGAACAUCACAUGCAAAUUCGAUGUAAAAUGUAUAAAACAACUAGGGAAGAUACAGCACCGUGUGAAACUGAAUGUUCAAUUUCAGAAGCUGCUUCUAUUAAUGAAACGGUAAAAUUCAGAUUCAUAAAUGCUUUCGUCUUACAAGUGUGCAAAUA